rnacentral:rRNA from 1 species
GACGAACCGUGCGAACGUUAUUCGGAAUCACUGGGCUUAAAGGGCGCGUAGGCGGGCCGCCAAGUCAGGGGUGAAAGCCUCCGGCUCAACCGGAGAAGUGCCUUUGAUACUGGCGGCCUAGAGGGAGGUAGGGGCCUGCGGAACUUCCGGUGGAGCGGUGAAAUGCGUAGAUAUCGGAAGGAACACCGGUGGCGAAGGCGGCCUUCUGGACGGAUACUGACGCUGAGACGCGAAAGCGUGGGGAGCAAACAGG